rnacentral:lncRNA from 1 species
UUAGCUGAGGAGUGACCUCACCCAAGCCCACUUCCAUUGACAGCCCAUUUCUAGUGUUUGAAUUUUUAAGCUUUCCAGGAGGGUAGUUGAGAACUGUCUUGCUUGGGGUCAUGCCUCAUCCCAAGGUAGUCUGCAGCCAGUGACUAAGAAAAUACACACCUAAAGUCUCCUUCUCCUCAUACCAAUCUCAGGUUAACCCUGCAAGUACAUCCUGCUGUAGAAUUCUUUGUGGUGAUGGCUGAGGCUUCACCAAGUCUUCACCAGAGCCAAACUUUUCCCUCUAUUCCAAUUGUGCAUCUCCCCCUCCCUUCUGUAGGUGGCGAUUCCAAGAGAACUCCUUAACACUUCUCUAUAUGCUAGUUUUGUCUUGUGUCUUUUUCCUAGGGCACCCAACACUCAAGAAUUAGACUUUAACAGAUUAAGCUGAAGUGGAAAGUAUAAAGCUAUGUCAGUUGACAGGCAAAAUUCAGUCACUUUUAAGCAUUAAUAACCAAAGCCGAGUGCAAUAUUAACUUCAGGGCUGAAGUGGAAAAUAUUGUCAUAUACAGGGUUUUUAUUUUCUUCUAGGAAUAUGGGAGAGAUCUGAACAGAAACCCUUCCUUCAACAUUUACAAUUAGAGGCAGAAGAGGAAAAAUUGGUGAUGUGGAUGAGGGUUAGGAUAGUAAUUUGUCUCCACAUUUUACUUAAUCAUUAUUCUGUAAGAUACACCCCACAGCCUCCUGCCUUCUCACAUGCAUAUUUGGGAAGACAGGAAGUUCAUCUCUUUAGCUGUUUAUCAUAUCCUCAGCUCCCACCAUUGUCCAUGAUACAAAAUGGGUGGUCAGUGACUGGAGAACGAAAGAAUAAAUGCAAAUAAUAAUAAUAAUACCUAAACUAUAUUACUUGAAGUUAAAUAUAUAUUUUCUAACACAAGCCAUUAAGUUCUUGGAAAGCUGAUCUUCCAUAGUCUCUUGUUCAGGCAGAACACUGCCAUUCCUCCAGAUGGUUACCCUGGUUUAUCGCUCUUACUUAUCACUUUGAAGGUAUGAGCAACAUACCUUCUAUUUUUACCAAGGGAUUUUCCUUUAUUUUUAUUAAAGUGUAGUUGAUUUAUAAUGUUCUGCCAAUUUCUGCUGUUACGUCAUUGACCUAGUCAUACGUGUGUGUCUACUGGGUAUAGUUCCCUGUGCUGUACAAUAGGACCUUGUUUCCUUCUAAAUGUAAAAGUGUGCAUCUACUAACCCCAAACUCCCAGCCCAUCCUACUCCCUCCCCUCUCCCCUAUGGCCACUACAAGUCUGUUUUCUAUGUCUUUUGUGUCUGUUUCUGUUUUAUAGAUAGGUUCGUUUGUGCCCUAGUUUAGAUUCCACAUAUAAGUGAUAUCAUUUGGUAUUUGUCUUUCUUUUUCUGAUUUACUUCACUUUGUAGGAGAAUAUCUAGGUCCAUCCAUGUUGCUGUGAAUGACAUUUUUCAUUCUUUUUUCAUGGCUGAGUAGUAUUCCAUCAUAUAUAUGUACUGCAUCUUCUUAAUCUAUUUAUCUAUUGAUGGGCAUUUGGGUUGCUUCCAUGUAUUGGCUAUUGUGAAUAGUGCUGCUGUGAAUAUAGGGUUGCAUGUAUCUUUUUGAAUUGUAAUUUUGUUUAGAUAUAUGCCAAGGAGUGGGAUUGCUGGAUCAUAUGGUAGUUCUAUGUAUAGUUUUCUGAGGAACCGCCAUACUGUUUCCCUAUGGUUGUACUAGUUUACGUUCCCACCAACAGUGUAAGAGGGUACCCUUUUCUCCACAUCCUUUCCGGCAUUCGUUAUUUGUAGACUUAUUGAUGAUAGCCAUUCUGACUGUUGUGAGGUGGAACCUCAUUGUAGUUUUGAUUUAUAUUUUCUCUAAUAAUUAGUUGAGCAUUUUUUCACAUGCCUACUAGCCAUCUGUAUGCUUUCUUUAGAGAAAUAACAAUUUAGGUCUUCUGCCCAUUUUUUGAUUGGGUUGUUUCAGUGGGUUUUUCAUCAUUUUUAAGAGAAUGUGAUUGAAUUGAAUAAAUACCUAAUAAGGGGUAUACUUUCCACUGCAUAGAUCAUAACUGUGAACAUUUAGGGCAACCACUUUUAAUGAGCUAAUGGCCUAGUAUGCACUCUCUGAAUUGUUUAGCCAUCACUGUAACUCAGUACUAUAGGGUCAAAGAUGUUCUAUUACUCAUCCAAUAUUCAGAAACACUUUACAAUGAAGUUGUGUUGAUUGGAAUUGAUUUCCAGAGAUUUACAACUUUCAAGACUAUCUUGAAGAACUCUCUUCUCAUCUUUCCACCUGUGAAUAAACUAGAUUUUUGAGGAAAGGAUUUCAUUAACACAAGUCACAUGGGGCUGGAAAUUCCAUUUCAAAAUAGCAUUAAUUAAAUUUCCCUAAUCCUAGUGAAGCUUUCAGCUGUGCAGUGCAGCUAUUUCACAUGAAAUCUAUAAGCCUGCUAUUUAAAUGUCAUGCUUCUUUAUUAUUAUUUAUUUAUAUCAAAUUUAUUAGCUGGAUGCAUCUCUAUAGCCUUAGGGUAUGAGUAUCUUUAAGUUUAAUUAAGGGACCCAUUUUGAGUAUUCUCACUCCCAAUCAAACAUAGAAGACAAAAACAAAAACAUAGAAAAUAUAUACACACGCAUAAACAUGUGCACCCUCCAGAGAGAAUAGAUCCAACCCAACAGCAUGUUAAAAAAUUCAGAGGAACUGGGAAAAGACAUGUGACAGGAGACAUCUAACUAGAGACUCAAGAUUUUAAUGUUUAAGUUAAUUUUAAAUUGUAAAGUAGAAUCACACAGAAGAUACACUCCACUGUACAAUCAGAUUUAGGCAAAUACGUAAAGAUUCUUCUGCGGGACAGCAACAAAGUCUUAACUCCCCUCUCACACACCCUGCAAGAUGUUUCCUUUUGUAGGAAUCAGCUCUAGCAUUAAGCCAAGUCCUUUGGUCCAAACAUUAGAAAGAAAAAAGUAACCCUAAAAUUGGGCAGAACAGGUUACUCUUCUUUCAAGGAUGCUAAAACAAAAUUAAUAAUAUAGUUGACUCUUGAAAAACAUGAGUUUGAAAUGCUCCCUGUAGGGGCGCCCCUAACACAAUUUUUUUUUUUAGUAAUAAAUACUACAGUACUGCACACUCUACACUGGUUAAAUCUUCAGAUGAGGAACCAGGGAUAUGGAGCAACCUAGUAUAUGGAGGAUGGAUUACAAUUUAUAUACAUGUUUUUGUCUUAGAGUAGGCACCCCUCCCCCCUAAGUUGUUUAAGGGUCAGCUGUGUUAAGUGGUCAUUGUCAAGGUCAUAGACGGUGGCAAAGCAAGGCCCACUUCUUAAUGUGUACCCAUUUUGGGGUGUCAUUAAAAAAUAAUAAUAAUAACCACAUUUUCACCAGCAUCAUCAUCACUGACUUCAUUGAUUUAUAUCACCUGUUAUUGCUUAAAAGAAUUUGAAUAUUUAUCAUCUUAAUCAGCAGUAGUAUUAGGUUUAUGUAUUUCCAAAUGUAUUUUUUAAGUUGAGAUAUAGGAAAAUGAUAGGUGAUUUUUUGAAUUUAUAAGCUACAUUUAGUACAAAGGCUAAUAUUAAGAACACUUCAGUCUUUACAAUUGUCUUUAACUCCUGUUUUCUGAUCUCUUAAUUUUAUUAUUCUGUGCUGGAAAUACGCUACCCUUUACUUAGAUAGCUUUAAUAGGCUAGAAAUGAGGUGAGUAUAGGUCUGAUGUUAUAGUUGAGAGUUAUUUUUUUUUUAGGUCAUCAUCAAUUUGUGUUUGACUUUUGAAACAGUUUCUGGUUUUGAUUUCUUGCCAAAUUGUGAGCCAUUAAUAAUCCUCCACAGCUUUCUCUUUUUGGAGAAGUGGAGGUGAGAUGGAAUAUAUGUUGACGCAUGUAUUUUUGCAUUUUCUUUACACUUGAUCUUCAGUUUUCUUCCUAUCAAGAGUGGUAACAACGAAGUGCCAAUAAACUUAAAAAACAAAAAAAGAACAUCUGUUACAUGGGUUUUCCAUCAUGAGGCCAUUUAAAGUGAAAUUCUUUUUUUGAAAGAUCAACACUUUAAAAAUCCUUCUGAUGACAAACUGUGCCUACUUCCAGAUCAUGUGGCAGUAAAACACUAUUACAUAGCUCAUCACACCCAGGAUGAAGUGUCAGCUGCGAAACAUUAUGAUUUAUGUGUAUAUUCAACAUUUGUUUUUGGAGCCAAACUGACUUCUCUCUUAAUUUGUUGCGACUGAAAUGAUCUCCACUUAAUUCUCUGUAAUUAGCAAUCCUCAUUUCCAUUUAAUAACUCACUCAUACACAAAGCAUUUGCCACACCUUGUUUUUCUGUAAAAAUUCUCAUCAAUGCCCUUAAUUACCUACUGACAUCACAGUGUUGUGGUUGUGGACUUUCACACGUUACUGUGUACAGCACGGCUCAUAAAGCCUAAUGAGAAUAAGUUCAUUACAUUAAUCCCAAUAAUUAACAAACUUGCUGCCUGCUUCUCAGAUAUCUAAUUUGUGACACAAACUUGGCAAAUGUGUUCAGCUGUGGAAGCAGAAUUGAAUCCAAAAAGAGCCUGUUUUAGUGAAGCUGAAAUCCAUCUUUAUUUGAAUUUCUUCAUCAAAUAUAUGAUCUCUUGAUGAUUUACAUUAAGAAAGAGACACGUCCACAGCGAAAGUAAAAAUAAUAUAAAAUGUUGACCUAAUGAGAAAGGGCUCAGGAUGGUGAUUUUUUUCCCCCUCAUGACAUGUUCCUAAAGAGGAAAAAAGGGAAAUUAUUCUGUUUUCAUAUCCUAAUAAUUACACUUUUGUGUGAAAGGACUUAACUCUUUCCAUUCCCAACGACCCACCUAUUCUCUAAACUGCUGUUUCAAACUCUGCGAAAACGCCCUUUUUACCCAAGGCAUUUGUUGACAUGACCAAAGUGUAUACUAACAGGCUAGUAGUAGACAAUGACUUCAUGAGCUGAAAGUCAGAUCUGCCCCCCUCCAGUGACCCUAAAAUUAUAUGGUGUGUAGUAUCCAUAUCUCACUUUAAUCUAAAACACAAAUAAAAUAGUAGAAUAAACUUUAAUCUUUUACAUGCCUUAUUCUUGUGCCUUAUUUGAAAUCCUUGGGUUGUAGAACAGAUUCUGACCUUUCGUAGGUGAUCAGCCAAGUUGGUUGAAUAAAUUAGAAGGUAAAUCACUGAUGUCUUAAAUUUAUUGUAACUACUCUGUUUUUUUCUAGGUGAUUUUUUCCACACAACAUAGAUGUUUAACCACUUUCCAGCAAUGUGCUAGAUAAGUACUUACUGAGCUGAAAGUGAAAAAUAUUCAGAUCUUUCUUACACAGCUUCUCUUUAAGAGCCCUCCUCUGAACCACUUCUCUUUUGAGCCAUAAUUAAAAUUGCAUUUAUUGGCAGUCUUCUUGAGCCAAUUGUUUUUCUUUAUUCUUUUCCUUUUCUUAAUUUCUUUUUUUGUUUUUGUUUGCUUUUUAGGGCCACACUUGUGGCAUAUGGAAGCUCCCAGACCACAGCUCACAGCAAUGCUGGAUCCUUAACCCACCAAAUGAGGCCAGAGAUUGACUCUGCAUCCUCAUGCAUACUGGUGAGGUACGUUGUUACCGUUGAGCUGCAACAGGGAUGCCUUUUUCCUUAUUAUUUUCUUUUGUGUACUCAGCACAAAUAUAUAUAUCAGACUUUCUCACUUUAGGGAAUAGUUACUGGGGCUUUGACCAAGGAAGAACCCUAUGAUACAAAUAAAUAGUAAGAAUUAUCAAAUGCUAAAGCAAAAUAGAGACAUAGAUGACAAAUGUCUUAAUCUAUUUAACCUCUUUUCAAGAUAAAAGCAUUGUCUUUGUUCGCUUAUUUGCAUCUGGAAGUAUGGAUUUGCAUGCCUAUUAUGAUUUUGAAAUUUAUCUUUGUGGAUUGACUUUACAUAAAAAUUAGUAUAGGUGUUCAAUAAUACAGAUUUUACCAUCAAAAAGAUGUAGGUUUUCUCUGACUCCUACCUGCAAGCUGUGUGACUUUUACUCAAUUUUCAGCAUCUCACAUUGUGCAGCAAUGAGAAAUGUGUAUACUAAGGGUGCUGGCCUCAUCUUUGGAAGUCAUGAUAAGGAAUAUUUACAUGAAAGUGCUGAAUAAGUGGUAGCCAUUUUGAAUAUGAGAGUAACUAACAAUUAAUCUUGGUUUGUCUUAAAAGAAUGAGGAUGAGAAACUAGACUGGUGGAGGUACCUAAUCCCAUGAUUCAGCCAUAUUUGCAAAGGGGAGGUACGGCUUCCUGCUGUGGCAGGGCGGGUUAAGAAUCCAACUGCAGCGGCUUGCAUUGAUGCAGAAGUGACGGUUCAAUUCCCAGCCUGGUGCAGGGGGUUAAAUGAUCUGGUGUACAUGAUCUGGUAUUCCGCAGCUGCAGCUCAGAUUCAGUCCCUGGUUGGAACUUCCGUAUGCUGUGGCAGUGGCCAAAAAAAGAAAAAAAAAAAAAAA